UACGGGGGGGGCAAGCGUUGUUCGGAAUUACUGGGCGUAAAGGGCUCGUAGGCGGCCAACUAAGUCGGAUGUGAAAUCCCCAGGCUUAACCUGGGAACUGCAUCCGAUACUGGAUGGCUUGAAUUCGGGAGAGGGAUGCAGAAUUCCAGGUGUAGCGGUGAAAUGCAUAGAUAUCUGGAGGAAUACCGGUGGCGAAGGCGGCAUCCUGGACCGACAUUGACGCUGAGGAGCGAAAGCUAGGGGAGCAAACGGG
rnacentral:rRNA from 1 species